UACGUAGGGUGCGAGCGUUGUCCGGAAUUAUUGGGCGUAAAGAGCUCGUAGGCGGUUUGUUGCGUCGGCCGUGAAAACUUGGGGCUUAACUCCGAGCUUGCGGUCGAUACGGGCAGACUUGAGUUCGGCAGGGGAGACUGGAAUUCCUGGUGUAGCGGUGAAAUGCGCAGAUAUCAGGAGGAACACCGGUGGCGAAGGCGGGUCUCUGGACAGCUCCUGACGCUGAGGCGCGAAGGCUAGGGGAGCAAACGGG
rnacentral:rRNA from 1 species